rnacentral:rRNA from 1 species
GACGAACCACACAAACGUUUAUUCGGAAUUACUGGGCUUAAAGGGUGCGUAGGCGGCGCGGAAAGUUGGGUGUGAAAUCCCUCGGCUCAACCGAGGAACUGCGCCCAAAACUACCGUGCUUGAGGGAGAUAGAGGUGAGCGGAACUUAGGGUGGAGCGGUGAAAUGCGUUGAUAUCCUAAGGAACACCCGUGGCGAAAGCGGCUCACUGGGUCUCUUCCGACGCUGAGGCACGAAAGCUAGGGUAGCGAACGGG